AUUGAACGCUGGCGGCAGGCCUAACACAUGCAAGUCGAGCGAGCGGCCGACGGGUGAGUAAUGUAUGGGGCCUGCCCGGUAGUGGGGGAUAACUACUAGACACGGUUGCUAAUACCGCAUACUAUCGGAUAACCCAUAUGGGAUGAGCUAGUAGGUGGGGUAAAGGCUAACCUAGGCGCCGAUCCCUAGUUGGUCUGAGAGGAUGAUCAGCAACACUGGGACGGAGACACGGCCCAGACUCCUACGGAGGCAGCAGUGGGGAAUAUUGCACAAUGGGCGCAAGCCGGAUGCAGCCAGGCCGCGUGUAUGAAGAAGGCCUUAGGGUUGUAAAGUACUUUCAGCGGGGAGGCGUUACCCGCAGAAGAAGCACCGGCUAACUCCGUGCCAGCAGCCGCGGUAAUAC
rnacentral:rRNA from 1 species